rnacentral:rRNA from 1 species
UGGGGAAUAUUGCACAAUGGGGGAAACCCUGAUGCAGCGACGCCGCGUGAGCGAAGAAGUAUUUCGGUAUGUAAAGCUCUAUCAGCAGGGAAGAAAAUGACGGUACCUGACUAAGAAGCUCCGGCUAAAUACGUGCCAGCAGCCGCGGUAAUACGUAUGGAGCAAGCGUUAUCCGGAUUUACUGGGUGUAAAGGGAGCGCAGGCGGCUUUGCAAGUCUGAUGUGAAAGGCCGGGGCUCAACCCCGGGACUGCAUUGGAAACUGUAAAGCUAGAGUGCCGGAGAGGUAAGCGGAAUUCCUAGUG